GACGAAGGUGGCAAGCGUUGUUCGGAUUUACUGGGCUUAAAGGGCGCGUAGGCGGUCCAUCAAGUGUCUUGUGAAAUCCCCCGGCUCAACCGGGGAAUGGCUGGGCAAACUGAUGGACUUGAGGCAGGUAUGAGCGAGUGGAACUCUUGGUGGAGCGGUGGAAUGCGUAGAUAUCAAGAGGAACGCCAGUGGUGAAGACGACUCGCUGGGCCUGUCCUGACGCUGAGGCGCGAAAGCCAGGGGAGCAAAC
rnacentral:rRNA from 1 species